CUUCUGAGGUUCGUUUGAAUGAUGCAAGUUUUCACGGAGUGGAUCGGGAUGGUAAUCUGAAUAAUAUUUCCGUCGAUCAUCAACUUAAAUUCUGCUCUGUACUUCACACAAAACUAUUGUAUUUCACCUGCGGCUGCAACGCAUCAUCAUUUGGACUACUUUUGACCCUGCCAUGUACCCUGCCCUCUUCAUACAGGCUGGCAUGAUGUCAUCUCAGAAGGCAGCGGAAGAACAACUUGGGGCACCUCCUGAAGAUGGAGACAGUGACUGACACACACACACACACUAGAUAUAUAAUUACUAUAAAUUAUGUUCUUGUUACUGUUUCCAUUAUUUGGACACAUUUUGAUGCUUUACUCUGGAAAUUAUCAUGGCAAUAAAGCCAAUUUGAACUGAAUCGAAUUGUCCGAGUUUCCCCCUCUCUAUCUCCACCACCCUUCCUA